rnacentral:rRNA from 1 species
CCUACGGGUGGCUGCAGUGGGGAAUAUUGGACAAUGGGGGCAACCCUGAUCCAGCCAUGCCGCGUGUGUGAAGAAGGCCCUCGGGUUGUAAAGCACUUUCAGUGAGGAAGAACGCCUGGUGGUUAAUACCCAUCAGGAAAGACAUCACUCACAGAAGAAGCACCGGCUAACUCCGUGCCAGCAGCCGCGGUAAUACGGAGGGUGCGAGCGUUAAUCGGAAUUACUGGGCGUAAAGCGCGCGUAGGUGGCUUGAUAAGCCGGUUGUGAAAGCCCCGGGCUCAACCUGGGAACGGCAUCCGGAACUGUCGAGCUAGAGUGCAGGAGAGGAAGGUAGAAUUCCCGGUGUAGCGGUGAAAUGCGUAGAGAUCGGGAGGAAUACCAGUGGCGAAGGCGGCCUUCUGGACUGACACUGACACUGAGGUGCGAAAGCGUGGGUAGCAAACAGGAUUAGAUACCCCAGUAGUC